GGGGGGAGUCCCCCCUCUAUGUUGAACACUUUGCUAGUUUCGGCCAGCCGCACAUCUCACCCCUUCUGGAUGGCGCGCGCGGCCCGAAUGUGUCGUUCGCUGUGGACUGGCGUCUUUUGACUACCACACUUCAACUUUGACUCUUGGAAGGUUUGAUCUCUUGAUCUCACUACACUUAACUUCCCCAACAAGUCUAAAUCUCUGUUUAAAAGAUACUUGCAGGAGCAACAUGUCAUCAGUGAAGUCACUUGGUCCCCUCGGCGAAUCCGCGGAACUUUCCUGUUCAUUCGGCAGUUGGGGGUCCUUUGGGGCUUGGCUUGGACCUAAUCGGUCCUCUUCGACCCUUAAGGGGGUAAGUGCGCUGCUUGAACUAAACGGCCCAAUCCUGCUCGCUGUCAGCUCCUGUCACAUGCAUCACGGUGCCACUGAUCGUUAGACGUUCCGGUGCGGAACCUGUCGAGAGAUCUGCUUAUCUAACAGAUAUCCAUCAGUGCAGGAACUUCUCUGGAUCUCAUAAAUGUCUCUCCCCACCGAGGACAGCUUUCUACACAUAUGAUCUAUCAUAACGCCUGUGACUCCCAGUGAGUUUGAUCAUAUCAAAUAAGAAAAGGAAACUUACAGACGGAAUAUCUUGGUCCGAGGAACGAUGAAGAACGCAGCGAAUGCGAUAAGUAGUGUGAUUGCAGAAUCAGUGAUCAUCGCAUCUUUGAACGCACAUUGCGCCCUAGUAUCCGGAGGAGGAUGGCUGUCGAGCGUCAUUUCACCACUCAAGCCUGCUAGUGUGGGCGACGUCCCUUGGGACGC
rnacentral:misc_RNA from 1 species